rnacentral:misc_RNA from 1 species
UUGUGCUCUGAUAACGAGUUAAUUGUAUAGAAUUCCGAAGUGACUCAAAGAUAUGGCCACUGUAACCCGCUUUACGCAUCAGUGAGUCAAUUGCUUCCACUUUUGUCCAACCUGAACCAAGAAGACAAACUUAAUCAUAAACACACAACUGAGUGGGGCAUCAUUUUAUCACGAAUUAAAGCAUUUAUGUAAUGCAAUAUAAGCAUUAUGUUGAAUUUAUACACAGGUCUAACAUGAGCACUCUGCCCUGCAAAUGCAGAAACUAGUUUUCUGAAGUAGCAGCAAGUCACCUAGCUUUCUUCUGCAUAGAAAGAAAUGAGAUACAUGACAUCUUCCCAGAAUUUUUACAUUUACAAUUGGGACCUGAGCGAAAUUUUGCAACAAAACCAGACUAAACACAGAUUACAUAAGUCCUAAUGCUAUUGGUCACAGUUUCUCUUCCACCUAAAAAAGUUAAUAUUCCAGAUGUAGCAUUGAGCUGAUUUCUUCUUCUGUUAAAUUCCUUACAUGGCAUGCCACAUCAACAAGGAAAAAGUUAUAGUCAGCUCUUUUCUUUUUUCAAAAAACAAAAAAAGAAAAUUUGAUGCGGCAAUUCUUUUGUCUUAUUCCCCG